rnacentral:rRNA from 1 species
CCUACGGGAUGCAGCAGUGGGGAAUAUUGCGCAAUGGGCGAAAGCCUGACGCAGCAACGCCGUGUGAGGGAUGAAGGCUUUCGGGUCGUAAACCUCUGUCAGAAGGGAAGAACGGGUAAUGGUCCAAUAGGCCGUUAUUUUGACGGUACCUUCAGAGGAAGCACCGGCUAACUCCGUGCCAGCAGCCGCGGUAAUACGGAGGGUGCAAGCGUUAUUCGGAAUUACUGGGCGUAAAGCGCACGUAGGCCGCUUUGUAAGUCAGGGGUGAAAUCCCACGGCUCAACCGUGGAACUGCCCUUGA